rnacentral:rRNA from 1 species
AGAGUGAACGCUGGCGGUAGGCCUAACACAUGCAAGUCGAACGGCAGCACGGUAAGAGCUUGCUCUUAUGGGUGGCGAGUGGCGGACGGGUGAGGAAUACAUCGGAAUCUACCUUUUGGUGGGGGAUAACGUAGGGAAACUUACGCUAGUACCGCAUACGUCCUACGGGAGAAAGCAGGGGACCUUCGGGCCUUGCGCUAUCAGAUGGGCCUAGGUCGGAUUAGCUAGUUGGUGGGGUAAUGGCUCACCAAGGCGACGAUCCGUAACUGGUCUGAGAGGAUGAUCAGUCACACUGGAACUGAGACACGGUCCAGACUCCUACGGGAGCAGCAGUGGGAUAUUGGACAAU